ACUGAGACACAAAGAGAACCCCAGAAAAACCAUCAACUAAUAGAGAAAUUCUGAGAAGAGGAAAAGAAUACAAGAACAGAGAGGAAAACAAGGAGAAGAGCAUAAAAGGAAAAGAGCAACUUUGGAGGGAUUCUUUUUCUUUAAGAACAGGUUGCAAUAGAAAGCAUUUCGCAAAGAAUGGGACCCAACAAGUACUUCUGUGUCUUCUUCUAGCUCUAAUGACCUCCUCCUGUAGCAUCUCUGCAACCGCCCCCCCUCCUCACCGUUGUUGAGCUUCAAUUUCUUGUCAGCAAAUUGAGGACAAUAACAUCUACCUUGGAACUGUUAUGAGGAUCACAUAAGGAGACACAAGUGAAAAACUUCAAGAUUAUAAAGCAUGAAUCAACGAUGAUCUUCCUCCCUGUCGUUUCUCCACAUACAUAAAGAUAAAGAGGUCCCAGCUUCAAGGCCUGGAAACAGGAGGAAGAGCAGGUGCCUCCAGAGUUCGAGGCUCUUUAAUGCUGCUGCCCUCCCCAGGAUAAAGGUAAGAGGGAAAACAGGCCCCGGUCUACU